rnacentral:rRNA from 1 species
AUACUUAGGGUGCAAGCGUUAAUCGGAAUUACUGGGCGUAAAGCGCUCGUAGGCGGCUUGUUAAGUCGGAUGUGAAAUCCCCGGGCUCAACCUGGGAACUGCAUUCGAUACUGGCAAGCUAGAGUAUAGUAGAGGCAAGUGGAAUUCCGGGUGUAGCGGUGAAAUGCGUAGAUAUCCGGAGGAACAUCAGUGGCGAAGGCGACUUGCUGGACUAAUACUGACGCUGAGGAGCGAAAGCGUGGGGAGCAAACGGGAUUAGAAACCCUUGUAGUCC